ACGGAAGGCAGCAGUGAGGAAUAUUGGUCAAUGGAGGCAACUCUGAACCAGCCAUCUCGCGUGAAGGAAUACGGCCCUACGGGUCUUAAACUUCUUUUAUAGGGGGAUAAAGUGAGCCACGUGUGGCUUUUUGUAGGUACCCUAUGAAUAAGCAUCGGCUAACUCCGUGCCAGCAGCCGCGGUAAUACGGAGGAUGCGAGCGUUAUCCGGAUUUAUUGGGUUUAAAGGGUGCGCAGGCGGCACGUUAAGUCAGCGGUGAAAUGUCGGGGCUCAACCCGGGCACUGCCGUUGAAACUGGCGAGCUUGAGUACGGAUGAAGUCGGCGGAAUGUGAUGUGUAGCGGUGAAAUGCUUAGAUAUGUCACAGAACACCAAUUGCGAAGGCAGAUGACUAAACCGCAACUGACGCUCUUGCACGAAAGCGUGGGGAUCGAACAGGAUUAGAUACCCUGGUA
rnacentral:rRNA from 1 species